rnacentral:rRNA from 1 species
AUUGAACGCUGGCGGCAUGCCUUACACAUGCAAGUCGAACGGCAGCACGGGAGCAAUCCUGGUGGCGAGUGGCGAACGGGUGAGUAAUAUAUCGGAACGUGCCCAGUCGUGGGGAUAACGUAGCGAAAGCUACGCUAAUACCGCAUACGAUCUAUGGAUGAAAGCGGGGGAUCGCAAGACCUCGCGCGAUUGGAGCGGCCGAUAUCAGAUUAGGUAGUUGGUGAGGUAAAGGCUCGCCAAGCCGACGAUCUGUAGCUGGUCUGAGAGGACGACCAGCCACACUGGGACUGAGACACGGCCCAGACUCCUACGGGAGGCAGCAGUGGGGGAAUUUUGGACAAUGGGCGCAAGCCUGAUCCAGCAAUGCCGCGUGCAGGAUGAAGGCCUCGGUUG